CUGUCUGUAGCUAUUUUUAUAUCAGAGUCAAAGCAUUUGGAAACCUCUGUGGUAUUUCAACACUACACAGCAUUGCACCAUGUAGACAGUAGAGUUUAGAUACACUUCAAAGAUCUCGAAUUGCUCCAAGAAAGAAUGAAAAAGGAAAUGUUAAAAAUAAGUCAAUGCUAAUUAUUAAGACAAAGACCAUAAUGUUAAGUUAUGCACUUAGCUUUAUUUGAAAGUGUAACAAUAGAUUAAUAGACCAUUAAUAUUUACACUUCACUACAGUGCAGUAAAAAGAAAAGCACUGAGCACUUCAAUUACAUGGUUAACUCAGUGGGUACAUCUAUUCUAGUGAUUGCUCUGGCUGUAAAAAUGGGGGAUUAAUUUCUAUGCUUCUCUGUGGUCCCAGGUCCAUGGAUGCCGUAUUAGGUUU
rnacentral:lncRNA from 1 species